AUACGUGUGGUGUAGUGGUUUGAGCGCUGGCCUAUGACUCUGGAGACCGGGGUUCGAAUCCCAGCUUGGCCA